rnacentral:lncRNA from 1 species
UGGGCAGGGAGCGCGGAGCCUGGGCAUCCCGUCCCGUCUUAGGGGGGCCGGCGAGAAGGGAAGCUGCAUCUUGGCAGCCCUCGCGGACACAUCAUUUAGCAUCUCACAGUCCACGUUAUUGAAAGCCAGGCGGUAUUUCCCUUGAAACAUCACACAUCUCCUCACUGAUGAAUAAGAAGUGUCCGAUCUCAGACACAUCUUGGUCCCCGGUCCUGCCCGUGAGUUGCUGACAAACAGGGAAGGGGCAGAAGCAGAAGAGGCUGCAGCGAGCGCCCGGCACGGGGCUGGGGAGCGCCACGUCUGGAUGGAGCCAUUUUCCUAAAUUCCCUCAUCGGCUGUGGCUGGGAUGAGGAAAAGCCAUCCGGGGCUGAGAGCUCCCUGUGCCCUGUGGGAGCUGGAGGCAUUCAUAGAGCUGCA